rnacentral:rRNA from 1 species
AGUGAACGCUGGCGGUAGGCCUAACACAUGCAAGUCGAACGGCAGCACAGUAAGAGCUUGCUCUUACGGGUGGCGAGUGGCGGACGGGUGAGGAAUACAUCGGAAUCUACUUUUUCGUGGGGGAUAACGUAGGGAAACUUACGCUAAUACCGCAUACGACCUACGGGUGAAAGCAGGGGAUCUUCGGACCCUGCGCGAUUGAAUGAGCCGAUGUCGGAUUAGCUAGUUGGCGGGGUAAAGGCCCACCAAGGCGACGAUCCGUAGCUGGUCUGAGAGGAUGAUCAGGCGACCUAGAACUGAGACACGGUCCAAACUCCUACGGGAAGCAGCAGUGGGGAAUAUUGGACCAUGGGCGCAAGCCUGAUCCAGCCAUACCGCGUGGGUGAAGAAGGCCUUCGGGUUGUAAAGCCCUUUUGUUGGGAAAGAAAAGCAGCAGGUUAAUACCCCGCUGUUCUGACGGUACCCAAAGAAUAAGCACCGGCUAACUUCGUG